GGGAUGCUGAGAACCGUUGAAUCAAACUGUAACUGCUGUAUCUGAUGGAAGCCUCUUGAAGGCAGGGGAUGCUACAGCACCCCCUCCCCCAGUUUCAACACCACCUCUGAUUGCCACCCAAAGAAAUCAAUGGAUUUAUAAUUUUCCACUUCUGUUUACUGGCCACUUCGCUCUCAAAGCCACUGACAGCAUUCUCAGAACUAGAAGAAAAAGCUGCUGCACUGUUUAAAGUCUAUAACACAUGUCGGCCUAUUAUCCAUCUGACUACCCCGUUGAACAAUGUGACAAUGGAAAGCAUCCCAAACUGCUUGAAAUUUGAUCAAAAAGUGCUUGCCCCAUAUUGUAAGGCGUCGUAUGUUUUCCACUCUAUUUUAGACUCUAUUUCAUCAAAAAAGAAAACUUCUCUCUAUUUGUUAUGUAAUGAGCUUAGCUUCAAGAAUUUAGUAGUUGCAAACGUCGUCCAACUGAAGAUCCUGCUAAAUAACAUCUUAUGCUACUUUCCACGACGACCUAAAAAUAUUGAGCAAAAUGAUCCAACCUCCAACUUUGACAAGCUAAUUUAUUUCUGGUGGGUUUUCCAACGGUAUGAACAAUGUAUGAAGCAAAUGAAUAUAGUCAAGGCCAAACCAAAUAUACCAGCAUGAAAAUGUUUAACUCCAGACAUUGUGGGCAUCUAUUAAAUACAAUCGAUCAUUAUUUAUGGGAUGGUUGGUACUAGGGACUCAGUAGAUAGUUUACCUAUUGGCUCAUGAAUUACAUGAUCCUUUUAAAACUAAAAUAUUUAAAGCAUAAGUGUUUUAAAUUAUAUUUAUUGGAAGGCUAUUUAAUCUGUAUUUAUUUGUGCUAGUAUAUCAAUGUUGAGUCUUGGAUCCACAGGGAGCUAAAUCCAAAACUCCUUAGCCAUGCAAGAUAUUGGGUUUUGCUGCUUGGGGUUUGAUAGGCGUUUGGCCUGAGAAAAGCACAAAGAAUUAGAUCUUGUAUGUCUGAUGAACUGAGCUUGUAUUAGGCUACAUCCCAGCUGUAUUUGUGCUUUCCCUCUGUCUAAGAGCAGCUGUGAAUGGUCUCAGAAUAAUGUAUGCUAAUACCAAUUCCUCUUCCAUGCGUUGGGAGCAAAUACCCUGUAUAGUGUCAAGAAAACAAAUAAAAGGACCAACU